rnacentral:rRNA from 1 species
AUGCACGGCUUGCCCCCUGCGGCCGCCGGCGCCAGUGGUGGCGCCGUGGGUGGGAGAGCUCGGCGCAGGUCGGAUCUGGGCAGGGUGCCCGGGCCUGCGGCCCUCUGCGGGGAGCUCGGUGGAGAUGCUCUCUGUUCGUGGGUUCCAGAGACAUGGUUGUGGCGUGGCUGCCGCCAGGAGUGGGCGUGUGCAGCUGCUGCUGCAGUUCCGUUGGCGUCUGGCCGUGUUGGUGUUGGGUGCUGCCUUGCUGGAUUGGAUCUUCAUCGGACGUGCGGGAGGUGGUUCAUGGAGUGCGUGUCCUUGGCUGUGCAAGGCGUCGGUGUUCCGCAACAUUAG